rfam:Capsicum annuum cultivar Zunla-1 chromosome 8, whole genome shotgun sequence
UUGCUCAAGGGAUGAACAAGUCCUUGAUAAUCGAACGUCACUUUAUUGGCACCACAAUGUCUAAGUUUUGCUGGUCAUUAUUGGAUGGUACAAAU